GGGGAUUUAGCUCAGCAGUAGAGCGCUUGCCUAGCAAGUGCAAGGCCCUGGGUUCGAUCCCCAGCUCCG
rnacentral:tRNA from 1 species